rnacentral:lncRNA from 1 species
ACGUCAGGACUGUCCGGUGCCGGCAGGAGGCGAAACGUGAUGGAAGGGUUGGCCGCGGCGAGGCGCGCCAUCGCGUCGGCCGACACGGCGUCGUUGUUGGGCGGGUCAAUCACCGCGACGACGACACCGAGGCCGCGGCGGCGCAGGUGCUUGGCUAGCUCCACCAUGGGGUUCAGGUGGCCGACGCCCAGCGACGGGUACAUGACAAACGUCUUUGUCGUCAUGGCUACGAGUUGUUCCGAUCAAACAGUAUGCAUAAAAACGUAGCAAAUGCUCUCAAAUUGGCUUACCAAUAUAAUCUCGCAACCCACAAGCUAAAUAGUGCGAGCGGCGUUGAAUGGUAACCCAUUUCUUGGCAAAGAAGGCCAUGGCGAGCAACAUUGAAACGUUUCACGGUGAGUUGCAUGAUCGACACAAAUUUCACAUGGGCUUUGUAGAAGUCUACGUGAGGAAGGAGAGACCAGGUAGCUCACGUCACGGCCGUUUUCGUGAGCAAUGACGAAGAAAAGAAAGUUUUUAUUCUGUACGGUGUAACGGACCAGAUCCAUAUAAUUAGGGAUGAGUUAAAAAAUUAAUAAGAACUAGUAUAGAGGUUUGCGCAAAUUGCGAGGCUAGCAUUAUUAUAUUUUCUUUUUUUAUUAAAAUAUAUUAAAAUGAUAACAUAAUUUUAAAUUUUGUACUAACUUUACCAAACUAUCAAUGUGUAAUAUUCAUGUUGUACUGUAUAUACGUGAUAGUUAUUAAUUAUUUUUAAUAUUAAAUUUUAGUUAUUUCUAAAUUGUAUUUCUAUAUGGACUGUAGACUCGUCUUUUUAAUAUUUCUUAUUUUUUAAUUCUGAAUUUUUGUUAUUUGUAAAUUAUAUUUCUACAUAGACUCUAGGCUCUUCUUCUAAUAUUAUUUAUUUUUAAUUCUGAAUUCAAUGAUCUCUAAUUGUAUUUCUAUGUGGACUCUAAACUCAUCUUUCAAUAUUCUUUAUUUUUUAAAUUUCGAAUUUCAGUAUGUCUAAAUUAUAUUCCUAUAUGAAUUAUAAACUCUUCUUCCCAUAUUAUUUUUUUAAUUUUGAAUAUUAGUUAUUUGCAAAUUUUAUUUCUAUAUGGACUCUAAGCUCUACUUUUAAUUUUAUUAUUUUUAUUCUGAAAUUUAUUCAAUUCUAAAUUCCUGUAGGGAUUCUAUACUCUUCUUCUAAUAUUCCUUUUUUUAUUUCCUAUUUUCUAUUUUUUAAAUUGUAUUUCUAUAUGGACUCUAUACUCUUCUUCUAGUAUUCCUUAUUUUUUAAUUUCGCAUUUCAGUUAGCUUAGAGAAUUUGCAUUUGACUAGAGCCAGUGAUUUCCAGUCUAGUGGGUUCAUGUUGUUUGUGUGGCUCUGAAUAAUUGGUCGCUAGUAUUGGUCAGGUUUGAAGACUAUGCAUUAUUUUAAUUUGCUUAUACAGAAAUGGUUGACACUGCAACUUUUGGACACGGGAGACAAUUGCGUCCGUCAUCGGAGGACGAAAAAAACAUCGCUAUGCGGACAACUUUGCUUCUAACUUAACAAAAAUCGCAAACAUUUCAUGUGGUAACUGACGCCAUUGGUACACUAAUGCAGUCAUGACCCAUACUCUGCUUGAUCAGCUGCGAACUCCAUUCUCCAAGCUGCUCUUCUCCAAAUCUCUCAUGAACUCAUCAAAUGCCACUUCAGAAGACCCAGCCUCCUUGAUGGCAUCUAACGCCAUGUCCCUCGUCUCCACCAGCCUCUCCCUGAGCUUCCUCCCUUCCUCGGCCUCCAUCACCAGCCUCACCUUAGCCUCCACUUCCUCGGCCUUCACCAACCCUCCUUCCUCGUACCCGUCAAGCGACACGGCGAUCUUCAUUUCCUCCACCAUGAUCACCUUGUUCAUCGCCUGCUCCGCGUACAGCGGCCAGCAUAUCAUCGGCAGCGCCGACAUGAUCGCCUCCAGCGUCGAGUUCCACCCGCAGUGCGUCACGAACGCGCCUACCGCCUCGUGCUGCACCACCUCCGCCUGUGGCACCCAGUUCUUGACCACCAUGCCUCUGCCCUUCGUCCUCUCCAAGAACCCCGCCGGAAGCAGCCGCUCCAGGUCCGGCUCCGGUGAUGUGGACUGCUCCUCCGGUGGGCUCCUCACGGUCCACAGGAAUCGGUGGCCGGAGCUCUCCAGCCCAUGAGCUAACUCCUUCAGCUGCGCCGCCGGGAACGCGCCCUGGCUGCCGAAGCAGAGGAACACGACGCUCCGUUGCGGCUGGGCGUCAAGCCACGCGAGGCACGCGUGCCUCUCGGCGCCGCUCCCUACCUUCUUGCGGGCGUCGACCAGUGGCCCGAUGAAGUAGACUCUCUGCUUGGGCUCGUUGGGCACGCAGACACCGGCGGCGAGCGCUUUCAGAGCCUUGGGCUCCAGCCAGUCGAAGCUGUUCACCAGCACGCCCUUCCCUUCCAUCAUCCGCUUGAACUGGUACAACCUGAUCUUGGUCGUCUCGCUCUCCUUGUCCUUCACCGUCGCCAGCAUGUCGACGUUGCGGAUCGGCGGAAUGCCGGGAAAUCGGAUGAGCGCCGCCUUAUCCAUCUCCCUCAACGACGGCGCGUUGCGGUAGUAAUACGGGAGGUGGGAAAAGACGGCGAGGACGCUGGCCGGGGAGGGAAAGAAGAAGUAGGCGGGGAUGGCGAGCUCGGCCGCGACGUCGAGCGCGUCGACGCAGAACAUGUCGAGCAGGAGUGCGUCGACGGCGGGCAGCGAGCGGAGGAACUCGCGGAGCACGGGGUUGGCGAGCCGGAGCGUGUCGAGGUUGCGCUUGACAUGGUGCGCGCCGGGGUCCGGGCUGGCCGGCGCCGGCAGGAUGCGGAACGUGACGGAAGGGUUGCCCGCGGCGAGGCGCGCCAUCGCGUCGGCCGACAUGGCGUCGUUGUUGGGCGGAUCGAUCACCGCGACGAUGACGCCGAGGCCGCGGCGGCGCAGGUGCUUGGCUAGCUCCACCAUGGGGUUCAGGUGGCCGACGCCCAGCGACGGGAACAGCACAAAGGUCUUUGUCGUCAUGGC